AUGAACUCUGGACUCGGCCCCCACGCCCCGCCUGCCCUGGCCCUGCUGAUGGUGAACUGCCGGGGACAGGUCUCCAGAACUCAGACUCCACUCAGCCCAGGCCACCUGGUGAUAAGGAGCAGGCCGGCACCCUUCCGUCCAGAAGACUCAGAGCCUGGGCAGAGGCCGGGCGUGGGCAUGGAGACCUCGGGCUGGGCAGGAACAGGGGAGCACCCGGCGGACAGGGCGCUGCGCGCGCACACACUGUCACCUCCGAGCAUCCGCAUGAGCACACACCCGACCUCCUCUUCCUGUGCACACACAUGCACCCGCUCAAGCACGCCUGCGGGCACAACUCCAGCCUGCCUUUCUCCUCCGAGAGCACACACACUGUGUGCUACUCGAGCCCGCUCCCCCAAGUGCGCACAUCUGCACACGCGCGCGCGCGCACACACACACACACACACUUCUGGCCUCUGUGUGCACUCCUGCAUCCAUCCCCUACUACUGGCUGUGCACACAUGCAAGUGCACCCCCAUCCCUGGCCCCCGUGUGUUUACACACUCAUCUCCACACCUUCCACUGUUUCCCAAGUGCCUACGAAGUGCGUACACACCCCCAGCCCGUGAAGCCCAGGAGCAUGCACGUCCACACACACCAGGCCUCUGUCCCCGUGUGCGCACAGGUGCACACGUCCCAGUUCCUAUCCCCAGGGUGCACACACACGCACGCGCACCCCCAUCCCUGUCCCCCGUGUGCGCACAUGUGCACACAUCCCUGACUCAGCUCCCCCGCACGCGCACCGCGGAGUCCCGGGCCAGGCCCUCCUCUCCAUCCGCAGCCGGCGCGCGCGCACACGCGGGCACGCGCGCACACACGCGGGCACGCGCCGGAGCAGCUCCUCUUCGCCAAGCGCGGGCCGCCCGGCGGGAGGAGAGUGGGGGGCAGGGGGAGGAGGAGGAGGAGGAGGAGGAGGAGGAGGAGGAGGAGGGAGCCGAAGGCGCGAAAAGGCGCGCAGGCGCGCUGCGGGAGCCGGGCCGCCGCCCACGUCACCGCGCC
rnacentral:lncRNA from 1 species